CCCCACGCCCUACUCACCACCGCCUCUUGGCCACCGAACCACCACCACCCACCGCUCGUCCGACGAGCCGUCUCGCCGUUGGGCUCGACAAGCUGUCGCGCCAUCCGCGCCACCCCUCGCUGCCGUGAGCCACCGCCGCCGUCCCCAAGCCACCGCGACCACCUCUUGCCGCCGCUCGCUCGGCCGUUCGGGCCAUCGUUGCUCCGAACCGCCACCGCCUCCACCAGAACCGAGCUCUUCCCCCCUUGGCCAUGGGUUUCGCCGCGAUCGCCGCCGUCUUCGCCGCGCCGUCCGUGCCGCUGUUGGUGCCGUGAGGCUCGUGUCUUCAUCACCGUCGCGCCACCGCUGCCGCGUGCUUGCCCUUGACUUAUUGACUACGAAUUUAUUCUCUUAUUUUUUAUACAGGAACCGUGGAAAACAAGUGUAUUUGGUUUUUCCUGUUCGGGUUCCGAUUCGGAGAUAAUGGGGGAGGUGAAAAGGGGGAAGAAGGAAUCGAUUCAGCUCCAUCUCUCUUUGGCUCUUCCAUGGAAGAUUCUCGUUCCUCGCGAAACGAUAACCACCCAAUCGCGUCGAGAACGAGGCCAAUCGUCUCCUUGCAGAUCUGGGUCGAUCUUUUCUUACGUGCCCGAAUCGUGUUCUGCAAGUCGAGAAGCGCGUCUCUGAGCCAUGGGGAGGGGAAAGUUCAAGGGCAAGCCCACGGGUCGCCGCCGGUUCUUGACUCCCGACGAGAUGAGUAACCUGAGAGCGCAAAGAUUUGAUUUUUCUUGCGAAUUUCGACAACCCUCUUUCGUUCGGCAUCGCUUGUGAUUAUUGGGAAUAGCCCAUUCGUUGAGCGUCGGUUGGUUGUUUGUUUGGAUGUGGUCGGGCUAAAUUUGGGUGUGGUUCUGUUUCGUUGAAUCUAUUUGGUUUUCUGAGAUCGCCAUGUACAAAUAUGCAAGUUGUACCAGAGAGAUAAGUGAUAAGAAGAUGGGAAAAAACAAUCGACAAUUGAUUUUGUGCAUGCUAUUCCCUGUUUUAUGUAUUGCUUCAUGAAUGAAGCUUCAAUUAGUUCAUAACCUUGCGGGUAUCAAGAGUUUUCUGAACAAUGAUUGAUCAUGUUGUGGCGCUAUUUUAAUCCUGUGAAAAUGAAAAAAAAAAAAAACCUGUUGGAACUGGAACCGACCCUGGAACCUGUAACAGGGUAGGUUCCAGGUUCUUAGUUCUGACG
rnacentral:lncRNA from 1 species